rnacentral:rRNA from 1 species
GUGAGGAAUAUUGGACAAUGGGCGCAAGCCUGAUCCAGCCAUGCCGCGUGCAGGAAGACGCAUCUAUGGUGUGUAAACUGCUUUUGUACGGGAAGAAACACUCCCUCGUGAGGGAGCUUGACGGUACCGUAAGAAUAAGGAUCGGCUAACUCCGUGCCAGCAGCCGCGGUAAUACGGAGGAUCCAAGCGUUAUCCGGAAUCAUUGGGUUUAAAGGGUCCGUAGGCGGUUUAAUAAGUCAGUGGUGAAAGCCCAUCGCUCAACGAUGGAACGGCCAUGGAUACUGUUAGACUUGAAUUACAAGGAAGUAACUAGAAUAUGUAGUGUAGCGGUGAAAUGCUUAGAUAUUACAUGGAAUACCAAUUGCGAAGGCAGGUUACUACUUGUGGAUUGACGCUGAUGGACGAAAGCGUGGGGAGCGAACAGGAUUAGAUACCCCGGUAGUCC